UACGUAGGGAGCAAGCGUUGUUCGGAAUCACUGGGCGUAAAGGGCGCGUAGGCGGCCCCUCUUAGUCGCGUGUGAAAGCCCCGGGCUCAACCUGGGAACGGCGCGCGAAACGGGAGGGCUGGAGUUCGGGAGAGGAGAGUGGAAUUCCCAGUGUAGAGGUGAAAUUCGUAGGUAUUGGGAAGAACACCGGUGGCGAAGGCGGCUCUCUGGACCGAGACUGACGCUGAGGCGCGAAAAGCGUGGGGAGCAAACAGG
rnacentral:rRNA from 1 species